GCGCACCAGGCGCGAAACCUCCGCAAUGCGGGAAACCGUGACGGGGUCACCCCGAGUGCCACCCGAUGAGGGUGGCUUUUCCCCGGUCUAAAAAGCCGGGGGCAAUAAGCGGGGGCGAAGUCUGGUGUCAGCCGCCGCGGUAAUACCAGCCCCGCGAGUGGUCGGGACGUUUAUUGGGCCUAAAGCGUCCGUAGCCGGCUCGGUAAGUCCCUCCCUUAAAUCCACGGGCUCAACCCCGUGGGGCUGGGAGGGAUACUGCCGGGCUAGGGGGCGGGAGAGGCCGAGGGGUACUCCCGGGGUAGGGGCGAAAUCCGUUAAUCCCGGGGAGGGACCACCAGUGGCGAAGGCGCUCGGCUGGAACGCGCCCGACGGUGAGGGACGAAAGCUGGGGGAGCAAA
rnacentral:rRNA from 1 species